rnacentral:rRNA from 1 species
GAUGAACGCUGGCGGCGUGCCUAAUACAUGCAAGUCGAGCGAACAGACGAGGAGCUUGCUCCUCUGACGUUAGCGGCGGACGGGUGAGUAACACGUGGAUAACCUACCUAUAAGACUGGGAUAACUUCGGGAAACCGUAGCUAAUACCGGAUAAUAUAUUGAACCGCAUGGUUCAAUAGUGAAAGACGGUUUUGCUGUCACUUAUAGAUGUAUCCGCGCCGCAUUAGCUAGUUGGUAAGGUAACGGCUUACCAAGGCAACGAUGCGUAGCCGACCUGAGAGGGUGAUCGGCCCCACUGGAACUGAAACACGGUCCAGACUCCUACGGUAGACAGCAGUAGGGAAUCUUCCGCAAUGGGCGACAGCCUGAAGGAGCAACGCCGCGUGAGUGAUGAAGGUCUUAGGAUCGUAAACAUCUGUUAUUAGGGAAGAACCAGUGUGUAAAUAACUAUGCACGUCUUGACGGUACCUAAUAAGAAAGCCACGGCUAACUACGUG